rnacentral:rRNA from 1 species
GNANNNCCUUCAGGAUUUAUUCGAAGACUAACUGCUGCUAAAGCGUUCGCCAAGGAUGUUUUCAUUAAUCANGAACGAAAGUUAGGGGAUCGAAACGAUCAGAUACCGUCGUAGUCUUAACCAUAAACUAUGCCGACUCGGGAUCGGACGAUGUUAUUUUUUGACUCGUUCGGCACCGUAUACCAAAGUAAAGUUUCUGGGUUCUGGGGGGAGUAUGGUCGCAAGGCUGAAACUUAAAGAAAUUGACNGAAGGGCACCACAAGGGGUGGAGCCUGCGGCUUAAUUUGACUCAACACGGGGAAACUCACCAGGUCCAGACACAAUUAGGAUUGACACAUUGAGAGCUCUUUCUUGAUUUUGUGGGUGGUGGUGCAUGGCCGUUCUUAAUUGGUGGAGUGAUUUGUCUGCUUAAUUGCGAUAACGAACGAGACCUUAACCUGGUAAAUAACCCGUAUUGCUCUGGCAGUACNCCGGCUUCUUAAAGGGACCAUCCGCUCCNGCCGAUGGAAGUUUGAGGCAAUAACANGUCUGUGAUGCCCUUAAAUGUUCUGGGUCGCACNCGCGCUCCACUGACUGAGCCUAUGAAUACUCACUUGGGUCGUAGGACCCGGNAAAAUAGAUAAACACUGUCUAGCCCGGGAUACAGGGUUUACAAUAAAAAUC